ACACUUAAUCAUUAGAUAACUAAUUCGUGUUUCAAAGUGUGAGACUUGCAGAAUUACCGAAAUAGAUGAAUCUUGCUUGUCCUCAGUCAGCUUUAGAAAUACAUAAGGAUAUGCUCCUUCUAAAUGAAUCUUCUGCGGCUUUCAGAUACUUUACUGAUGUUCUCUUCCAGUUCCUGCUCCAAUUGCAUGAGUGUUGAUUGGAAGGCCCAAAUUUAGAUAAACUACUGUAAAUAUACAUGACUUGUUCAUUUCUCAUCUGGAAUUGAAUGAACAGGAGAAGCUUUAGAAAUCUGGCUGGAAAAUCAGAAGUUGACAAUCACAGCUACCAAAUCCUCUUUCUCUCUGUCACAAAAACAAAACGGUCUCAAUCCAAAAUUUGAUACCCAUAUCUCUAAUUGUCAAAAAAUCGGAGACACAUAACCAAAUUUUAAAUUCACCAUGACAUAGAAAACCAAAUGAUAACCCAUAACCAAAAUUGAAAUCAAACAAAGAAUUACCCAGACUACUAUGUCAAUUGACCGAACAUGAACAGAAAAAGAAAUUCACUUUAAUAAGAGGAUGGUGAAAAAAAAGAAAUUAAAUCGAACGAAUUGAGCUAGUACUUACGUUCACCAUAUUUAGUUUCCAGCCAGGUCCAGUUAUCUCUCCACUUUUGUACUCAGGUUGCACUCAAUAGCAAAAAGAUGAAAGAAAAAGAAAUUAAUAUAUAAUCUUGUACAUACAUGAUUGAUAUAUGAUCUUCUAAAACGAUUAUAGAAAAAUUAGGAAGUUCUACACACCUUUGUGCAUUCAUAUCUAACUCAGUUAUGAUUGCUUCCAAAGAGUGUCAUUAGCAUCCAUAUGAGACUUGAGUACUCUGUCAGUAUCCCAUUGCCUCCUCCCACGUGUUGCCUGAACCAAAAGAUGCAUUCACUUGGCUAGUCCCCCCGCCACCUCCAGCUGUGGACAACUAUAUAUCUGCAUACACAUUUGAUGAAAUCAGAAACAUGAGAUACGCACAAACACAUAAGCAUGAAGAGAUCAUGAACAAUCAAAUCAAAAGGGGAAGGAAAAGGCAUUAGAUGAAUUUUGUAGUGUGGCUUGAUCAAUGGGGACAAAAGGGGAAAACCCUUCAAUUUCAAGUCUCUUUGCACUCUGGACAAGGGACCUAGAGGCAUUGUACCAUGUCCUUGACCUGAAAUUAACCAAAGAUAAAAGUACCACUGGAUCAAUUCAAAGAACAAUGAUCAACAAACAGCACCCCAACAUGAAUACAUAUGUAACACUUAUUUUUGUGAAAUAUAUCAUCUUCCCACCAUUUGACAAAGAAACCAGGAAAGGAAAAGGCACUGAAACUAUAAUACAAAUAGUCAGUUAGAAUAAACACACAGCUACAUACUGAUCGAUAACAUCAUUUUUUUUUCCUAUCCUCAGCAAGUACAAGUCCAUUGCAAUAAUGCAGUAGAUAAUACCAUAAGUGUAGAACCUGCAUCAUAAUCAGAGGGAAGCAAUGAGGCCAAGCUUAGACAUUAGAAACUUGUGCCCAAGUUAGGACAAAAGCUGGCACAAAGGAAUCUAAUCCAACAAUAGGCAGCCGACAGUCAUUAUAUUAAUUAAAAAAGAAAAAGAAACAACUUACAAACAGCAAAAGGGUUUUUCUAUUAGUUUUGAUAAACUCCCUUUUAUGUUUCCAACUGUACUUCAUAGUUUUCAGAGUCUUCAUCUAACACUAGAAUCCAUGUGGAAAGAAGAAUCAUUACCACACAUGUACAUACAUAAUUGAUAUAUAUAUGCAAAGACCAUCGCAAGCACAAAGUCUAAAAUUUGAUAAAUUGUAUUAGGGUAAGGCACCACAAAUCACAUACACAACACAAUACGAAGCACAAAUUUUAAGACUUAGUUCUCUACAGGACGGCAUUUGCCUCUGCAAACUUAUCCCGAACUGGAAGUUGUUAGGAGCUUUUUGCAACCUAGAAGCACAAACAAAAAAAAAGAAAAAGAAAAACUUCCAGACUAACUACACUGUAUCAUUAGAUAACUAAUUCGUGUUUCAAAGUGUGAGACUUGCAGAAUUACCGAAAUAGAUGAAUCUUGCUUGUCCUCAGUCAGCUUUAGAAAUACAUAAGGAUAUGUUCCUCCUAAAUGAAUCUUCUGCGGCUUUCAGAUACUUUGCUAUAGUUCUCUUCCAGUUUCUGCUCCAAUUGCGUGAGUGUUGAUUGGAAAGCCCAAAUUUAGAUAAACUACUGUAAAUAAACAUGACUUGUUCAUUUCUCACCUGGAAUUGAAUGAAUAGGAGAAGCUUUAGAAACGUGGCUGCAAAAUCAGAAGUUGACAAUCACAGCUACCAAAUCCUCUUUCUCUCUCUCACACAAAAAAACGGUCUUAAUCCAAAAUUUGAUACCCAUAUCUCUAAUUGUCAAAAAAUCGGAGACACAUAACCAAAUUUCAAAUUCACCAUGAAAUAGAAAACCAAAUGAUAACCCAUAACCAAAAUUGAAAUCAAACAAAGAAUUACCCACACUGCUAUGCCAAUUGACCGGACAUGAACAUCAGAAAAAGCAUUUCACUUUAAUAAGAGGAUGUGAAAAACAGGAAAUAAGAUCAAAGCAAUUGAGCUAGUACUUACAUUCAACAUAUUUAGUUUCUAGCAAGGUCCAGUUAUCUCUCCAAUUUUGUAUUCAGGUGGCCCUCAAUAGCAAAAAGAAGAAAGAAAAAGAAAUUAAUAUAUAAUCUUGUACAUACAUGAUUGAUAUAUGAUCUUCUAAAAUGAUUAUACAGAAAUUAGGAAGUUCUACACAACUUAGUGCAUUCAUAUCUACCUCAGUUCUGAUUGCUUCCAAAGAGUGUCAUUAGCACCCAUAUGAGACUUGAGUACUCUGUUAGUAUCCCAUUGCCUCCUCCCAUGUGUUGCUUGAACCAAAAGAUGCAUUCACUUGGCUAGUCCCCCCACCACCCCCAGCUAUGGACAACUAUAUAUCUGCAUACACAUUUGAUGAAUUUAGAAACAUAAGCAUAAGCAUAAACACAUAAGCAUACACAUAAGCAUGAAGAGAUCAUGAACAAUCAAACCAAAAGGGGAAGGAGAAGGCAUUAGAUGAAUUUUGCAGAGUGGUUUGAUCAAUGGGGACAAAAGGGGAAAACCCUUCAAUUUCAAGUCUCUUUGCACUCUCGACCAGGAACCUAUAGGCAUUGUACCACGUCCUUGACCUGAAAUUAACCAAAGAUAAAAGUACCACUGGAUCAAUUCAAAGAACAAUGAUCAACAAACAGCACCCCGACAUGAAUAGAUAUAUAACACUUAUUUCUGAGAAAUAUAUCAUCUUCCCACCAUUUGACAAAGAAACCAGGAAAGGAAAAGGCACUGAAACUAUAAUACUAACAGUCACUUACGAUAAACCCUCACCUACAUACUGAUCAAUACAUCAUUUUUUUUCCAUCCUCAGCGAGUACAAGUCCAUUGCAAAUGAGAUUCUGAAAGGCAGGAUUGCCAAAUAAUGCAGUAGAUAACACCAUAGGUGUAGAACCUGCAUCAUAAUCAGAGGGAAGCAAUGACGCCUAACUUAGACAUUAGAAAAUUGUGCCCAAGUUAGGACAAAAGCUGACACAAAGGAAUCUAAUCCAACAAUAGGCAGCCGACAGUCAUUAUAUUAAUUAAAAAAAAAAAACAAACUUACAAACAGCGAAAGGGUUUUUCUAUUAGUUACCAAAAUAAACUCCCUAUUAUGUUUGCAGCUGUACUUCAUAGUUUUCGGAGUCUGCAACUAACACUAGAAUCCAUGUGGAAAGAAGUAUCAUUGCCACACAUGUACGUACAUAAUUCAUAUAUAUAUAUGCAAAGACCAUCGCAAGCACAAAGUCUACCAUUUGAUAAAUUGUAUUAGGGUAAGGCACCACAAAUCACAUACACAACACAAUACGAAGCACAAAUUUUAAGACUUAGUUCUCUACAGGAAGGCAUUUGCCUCUGCAAACUUAUCCCGAACUGGAAGUUGUUAGGAGCUUUUUGCAACCUAGAAGCACAAACAAAAAAAAGGGGAAAAAAAAACUUACAGAAUAACUACACUGUAUCAUUAGAUAACUAACUUGUGUUUCAAAGUGUGAGACUUGCAGAAUUACCGAAAUAGAUGAAUCUUGCUUGUCCUCAGUCAGCUUUAGAAAUACAUAAGGAUAUGCUCCUCCUAAAUGAAUCUUUUGCGGCUUUCACAUACUUUACUGUUGUUCUCUUCUAGUUCCUGCUCCAAUUGCGUGAGUGUUGAUUGGAAGGCCCAAAUUUAGAUAAACUGCUGUAAAUAAACAUGACUUUUUCAUUUCUCACCUGGAAUUGAAUGAACAGGAGAAGCUUUAGAAAUCUGGUUGGAGAAUCAGAAGUUGACAAUCACAGCUACAAAAUCCUCAUUCUCU
rnacentral:lncRNA from 1 species